rnacentral:rRNA from 1 species
GACGAACGCUGGCGGCGUGCCUAAUACAUGCAAGUCGAACGGAAAGGCGAGGAGCUUGUGCCUUUCUCGAGUGGCGAGGGGGGGAGUAAAACAUGAGGAAAAUCCACUUAAAAGUGGGGUAAAAUCUCGGGAAACCGGCGAAUAUACCGGAUAAUAUACUGAAACGUGUGGGGGGAUAGAGAAAAUCGGCGUUUGUGUCUCGUAUAGCUGGUUCCGCGCCGCAUUAGCUGGUUGGUAAGGUAACGGCUUACCAAGGCAACGAUGCGUAGCCGACCUGAGAGGGUGAUCGGCCACACUGGAACUGAGACACGGUCCAGACUCCUACGGGAGGCAGCAGUAGGGAAUCUUCCGCAAUGGGCGAAAGCCUGACGGAGCAACGCCGCGUGAGUGAUGAAGGUCUUCGGAUCGUAAAACUCUGUUAUUAGGGAAGAACAAAUGUGUAAGUAACUAUGCACGUCUUGACGGUACCUAAUCAGAAAGCCACGGCUAACUACGUG